CUCGCCCGACCCAGGGCUCGCCCGUCCCAGGCAGCAGAUAUGGUGCUGGUACCCAAACCUGUAACUUCAGAGGAAGCUACAUACAACUGGGACUGGAGAUCUGAGGACUCUGAGAAGAGCAGAAGCAGUACUGUGCACACAUCAUUAAUUUAUAUGUUGAUCAGUCUCCUCUUCCACAAUUUCAAGCACCUUGGUGGGCUGCUGUUUAUGCUCAGGCUGAGUGGAGGACCUGGGAGAGAGCGAGCAAUUCCUUCCCAGCAAGCACCUGAUCAGAGCAGAUGAAUUCUAUCCUGGAGAACUGAAUACGCAAAGGUCCUAGAUUUUCCUUCAGUCAUCUGGCAUUGGAUCUAGAGAGGAGAUCAUUGCGGUGCCUUGUGAUUCCAAACUCUGGAGAGAGUCCAUUCAUAUUUUCCUGCCAGAUUAAAUCAAGUGCCCCAGACAGGCUUUGAAAGGAAUGCUCCCAGAUGUAGAUGUAUUUUUAGAAUGGGAAUUAAAAGGUAGGGGCACAGGAUGAUCUGUCAGUCUGGGCAGGGAGGCAGAACAAUGCUGGCAGACUCUGCCGUGAUCAGAGCAUUCUCUGUCCCUGGGACUCAUAAGGUAGUCCAGCCCCGUCAUUCAACGGUGAGACUAAAGCCAACAUUGUGGUUCUCUUUGAACCUCCUUGUAAGAGGGAAGCAGAAGAAGUGGGAAUGAAUAGAAACAAAACCCUUGCCUGAACCAUUCACAUUUUUCAGAUCCUGUUAAUAAACCAUCUUAGAAUAAAUUGCCUGGAUUUCCUAUAAAAUAAAAAUGCCUUUGAGGGAGCUGAGCAGAGAACCAGAAGAGUAGAUUAAACAGCUGAGCUUGCUGAAGGAGGUAGGAGCCGGAGAAGGUCAGAUAACAUUAGCUGUGUAUAUUAUCAGAUAACAACAAGAGAGCAGGGAAACAUCUACCUGGAUGGGACAAGCAGAUAGAGGAUUUGGGUACUGCCAAAGGACAGCUGAUAAUUCUAAUGGCAGUCCUACAGGGAAAGAGAGAGCAGAGCCACUGAUUGCCAGUGACUGCUGACAAAUCCAGGGAUAUAAAAGAGAGUGCAGCUACCAAAUAAAGCUCAGAAGCUCAAAGUAAGAAUGGUGCCCCAUGGAAAGGGGUCAUCUAUUGGAGAGGAUGCAUAACUAGACAUGGGAAGCCCCAUAGUCCUUUAUUUCAGUUGGCCGGCCUGCCUGCCCAUAUUUGCACAUCAGCCUUGUUGGCGCAAGCCCUUGCACAGUGCAUGCGUUGAUUGCACCCUAGCCCAAGAAGAGGCUCUGUGUGGGUGCAAUGAAAGCUAAACUUCAGGGGUAGCCUCUCCCACAGGGCACUGGUAGAUCUCAAGCCCCUUGCAGGCCUGCUUACUCCCUUACUUACAAAUAAAAAAGGGAGCAGGCUGUGGAUGAAGAAUGGGCAUGACUGCAGAAACCUGGAUUUAAGUGCAUUCCUUACUGUGCAAAUGAGGCACUUAGCAACCUCUUAGGCCUUACUAGGCAGGAAAACCUGGGCAGUCUCCCAGUACUGCUCUCAGGAAUGCAGGAUCAGGUUCCCAUGUGUUGCCUGGCCUGGCUCAUCACCUUUUACCUUGAGCUUAUACACCCAGCACUCCAUACCAGUGCUAUGCAGAGCAAGUACGGCAUGUGGCCCCAGAGAAAACCUUCAGUGAUAGUAAUAUCAUUCCCUGAUCCCACUUACCCAUUGUCAGAGCUAACUCAGCAGCAGUUGAGUGAGAUGAAUUUCCUCUUGGUGACGGGGGAGGAGGUAAACACAACUAAUUUUUAUUAUUUACGCUAAAGACACAUCAGGCAGCAACCAAACCCUGAAAUCUGACAGUGCAGUGAGAGAACACUAGGGGCCCACUUACUGGUCAGCAGGAAUCCUAGAUUGUUUCACUGUUCUCUGGCCCUUUCCUGAGAAACAAAAGAACAUUCACGCGCUGGCAUCUUGGAGUACAGAUAGGGUGACCAGACAGCAAAUGUGAAACUGGGGGGGGGGGGGGGGGCGGUAAUAGGAGCCUAUAUAAGAAAAAGACCCAAAAAUUGGGACUGUCCCUAUAAAAUCAGGACAUCUGGUCACCCUAAGUACAGAUAUGAUGUUGGCCGGUGGUUAUGGGAUCUGUUUCUAAAACCCUGCUCCUAUUAAUUGUGAAAAUAAAGUUAUCUUUCAAACUUCAGGCAACCAAUGCCUGGUGCGUGAUACUUACAUGCAUGAUACUCACGUACCUUUCAGCAAUGCAAAAGCACCAAUAGCGCCCCACGUUGUUCAUGCAGUAUCCAUUUAGCUCGGGUGCAAGAUGAGUCGUUUGCAGUUCCUAAUCACUGGUGGGAGAAAUAAAGUUAAUUUUCAAGCUGUG